UGGGGCAGAGACUCAUGAAAUAUCUCGGAAGUUGCCUUUGCUACCAUCCUUGCUCCCAGCCGGCCAUGGGUUACUGGCGUCUGUUUUAUCAGGACUCUCAAGAGGGACAGCUGGUUUGUGUUACAAGCCUGCUCCCUGCAUAUCUGGUCUGGUUUUAAAUAGCUUAUCUGAGCAGCUGGAGGACCACAUGGGCUUAUAUGGCGUGGGGUACAUGUUUCUUUAGCCCUGUCUCCGGCACCUGCCAAAAUAGCAGCCAACACCCCUCCAUUGGUCCCCCCCCCCAUCUCCUGCUGCACAUUCCUGCCACCGCAGGGCUUGGCUCCCAAGGCCCCAGCCCACAUGCCUGCUUAAAGCUCUCUCCAUCCCUGCCUUUGCCCAGUCCCCACCAAGGCGAGCAGACACCUCCGGGACCUACUGGCAGCCCCUGUUCAGAGGGAGAGCAGAGACGAUGUCUGACACUGAAGAGGUGGUGGAAGAAUACGAGGAGUAAGUAUCUGAGGGUGUCCCAUCCUGAGUGCCCCCCUCCAUGCCAUCCCCAUGCCGGCUCCAGGAG
rnacentral:lncRNA from 1 species